GCAAAAUUCUGUCCUUCACCACGACCUCCACCUGGACCGUGCCCAAUGUGUGGGCAGCAUGGACCCUGGGGAGUUGAAUGCCCCUCCUCACCUCUACAAGAAAUGAGGGUGCCCAGGGCCGCUGGCUUCCAACAACCAGCUCAUGGCGGAGCUCAAGGUGUGUUUCUAUGUAGCCGCCCGCUGCCUGAGAAGACUUCCUCCAGGCUUCAUCCAAGAGACUCGCUUCCUGCAGACAUCAUCUAAGGAUUCACGCCUACCAAGGGACAACUGCUGCUCAAUGCCUUCUCUGGAAGGAAACCACAUUCUGCCCUUUUACCCCUAAUGUCGACGGCCCCUUGGCCAGCAGGAAGUAGCCAGAGAGAAUCUGCGCCCCAUUU